rnacentral:rRNA from 1 species
AGAGUUUUUUCCUGGCUCAGGACGAACGCUGGCGGCGUGCCUAACACAUGCAAGUCGAACGAAGCUUUGAGGAGCUUGCUUUUUAAAGCUUAGUGGCGGACGGGUGAGUAACGCGUGAGCAACCUGCCUCUCAGAGGGGAAUAACGUUUUGAAAAGAACGCUAAUACCGCAUAACAUAUCGGAACCGCAUGAUUCUGAUAUCAAAGGAGCAAUCCGCUGAGAGAUGGGCUCGCGUCCGAUUAGUUAGUUGGUGAGGUAACGGCUCACCAAGACUACGAUCGGUAGCCGGACUGAGAGGUUGAUCGGCCACAUUGGGACUGAGACACGGCCCAGACUCCUACGGGAGGCAGCAGUGGGGGAUAUUGCGCAAUGGGGGAAACCCUGACGCAGCAACGCCGCGUGAAGGAAGAAGGUCUUCGGAUUGUAAACUUCUUUUGUCAGGGACGAAGAAAGUGACGGUACCUGACGAAUAAGCUCCGGCUAACUACGUGCCAGCAGCCGCGGUAAUUCGUAGGGAGCGAGCGUUGUUCGGAUUUUAAUUGGGGGAAAAGGGUGCGUAGGCGGCCGGAGCAAGUCAGUUGUGAAAACUAUGGGCUUUAACCCAUAACGUGCAAUUGAAACUGUCCGGCUUGAGUGAAGUAGAGGUAGGCGGAAUUCCCGGUGUAGCGGUGAAAUGCGUAGAGAUCGGGAGGAACACCAGUGGCGAAGGCGGCCUACUGGGCUUUAACUGACGCUGAGGCACGAAAGCAUGGGUAGCAAACAGGAUUAGAUACCCUGGUAGUCCAUGCCGUAAACGA